UAAAAAAGCUGGAGGAAAGAGGGGUGGUCAUACGCUUUGUUAUUGGUCGGAGUGCAAACCGAGGUGAUAGCUUAGACCGCAAUAUUGACAAGGAAAACCAGUCAACUAAGGACUUCUUGAUACUUGAAGGUCAUGAAGAAGCUGAUGAAGAGUUACCUAAAAAGGCCAAGUUCUUUUUCAGUACAGCAGUUCAAAAUUGGGAUGCAG
rnacentral:misc_RNA from 1 species